rnacentral:lncRNA from 1 species
UUGGCCCCAAUCUUGUUUGGAAUCUGGACUUUGCUGCUGAAUGGAAAAGUGGGAUGGAGUUGCAUGGAUCCAGGCUUUUGUGCUGCUGUUCUAAGCAGAGUUGGGCCUGGUUAAUAUGUGAUGUUUUCCUUCGGUGCUGUUUAGCCCCAGUGUUCUUUGGAGUCCGGGGAAGUUUGGCCUUUAAAAAUCAAACUGCCAUGGACACUGCUUUACCCAAAAUUUUGGUUCACAUUCUUCACUGGAUUAACUAUUGGGGCAAACAACGUAUAACCAUGUAAAACCAGUACGCUUGUAUUGGCAUUUCAUGGCUAGAGUUCUAAGUCACAAGCACCUCUUCGGCAAAGCCCACCUCCCUCUCUCGCUUGAUUCCCCGGCCAUCCUUAUCAAAGACCUUCCAGGUGAACAGGCAGCCAUCCUCAGCAGCAGUCAGCAGGAACUGAUCAUCAAAGAAACUUGCAAAAAUAGCACAGAGAGAGUGGACUUCUGGAAUGGCACGGCAACAAAAUUCCCUACGGCAGCACCCAAAGGCUUGAAAUUAGCCAUUCCAAGUGUGUCCAAAAAACUAAAGGAAACCAUGAUUAAACAAGUAAAGGUAGAAAUGAUAUGCAUCAAAUAGAGAAGAAUAAAAGGAUCCCAUCAAUAUAGGGAUAGAACUGUAAGAAAAUAGAAAUUCUAGAGUUAAAAACUACAAUAACUGAAAUGAAAAAUCCACUAGAGGUGCUCAAGAAUAGAUCUGAACUGGCAGAAGAAUUAGUGAACUUUAUAGAUCAAAAAAGAUUAGCAAUUUGAAGAACAGAGAGGAAAAAGAAUUAGAAAUUUACAGAGCCUCAGAAAAAUGUGGGACACCAUUAAGCACACCAACUAAUGCAUAAGGUGAAUGCUAGAAGGAGAGGAGAAAGAGAAAGGAACAGAAAAAACAUUUUCAUAAAUAAUUGCUGAAAAUAUUAUAAAUUUAUUGGGAAACACCAGUGUACACAUAUAGGAAGCUCAAUGAACUCCAAGUAGGAAAAACACAAAGAGUUCCACAAACAGACACAUUUUGGCAAAAAUAAUGAAAGCUAAAGAUGAGAAGAAAAUUUUGAAAGCAUCAAUAGAAAAAUGACUGAUCACUUACAAAAGAGUCCCAAUAAGAUUAAUAGCAGAUAUCUCAGCAACAACAACGGAAGCCAGAAGAGAAUGGGAUAACAUGUUCAAAGUGCUUAAAGAAAAAGCUGUCAAACAAAAAUCCUGCAAAGCUAUCUUUUAGAACUAAAGGUGAAAAAAAAUUACCAAAAAAACUGAAAAAAUAUGUUGCUAGCAGAUAUGACUUACAGAAAAUACUAAAGGAAAUCCUUUAGGUUGAAAGCAAGUUACUCCAGAUAGUAAUUCAAAUCCACACAAAACAAAGAGCACUGGUAAAGCCAGUAGACAAGAUUUGACUCUGGAGGUGACGUCUGAGCCAAUAGGUAUUUGGAGUCUGGAGAAAAAGCCAUGCUAAUAAAUUUCUGAACUUG